rnacentral:rRNA from 1 species
GAUGAACGCUGGCGGCGUGCCUAAUACAUGCAAGUCGAGCGAACAGACGAGGAGCUUGCUCCUCUGACGUUAGCGGCGGACGGGUGAGUAACACGUGGAUAACCUACCUAUAAGACUGGGAUAGCUUCGGGAAACCGGAGCUAAUACCGGAUAAUAUAUUGAACCGCAUGGUUCAAUAGUGAAAGACGGUUUUGCUGUCACUUAUAGAUGGAUCCGCGCCGCAUUAGCUAGUUGGUAAGGUAACGGCUUACCAAGGCAACGAUGCGUAGCCGACCUGAGAGGGUGAUCGGCCACACUGGAACUGAGACACGGUCCAGACUCCUACGGGAGGCAGCAGUAGGGAAUCUUCCGCAAUGGGCGAAAGCCUGACGGAGCAACGCCGCGUGAGUGAUGAAGGUCUUCGGAUCGUAAAACUCUGUUAUUAGGGAAGAACAAAUGUGUAAGUAGCUAUGCACGUCUUGACGGUACCUAAUCAGAAAGCCACGGCUAACUACGUG